AAAUGAAAGGGAAAUCAAUAGAUUUUUGAGAGGUUGGCCGAGUUUCAUGCUUUAUUUGUGGAAGAAAUUCAACAUUGAACACCUCACAUUUUUAACAAAACAUGUUAUUGCAUUGUUUUUCACUUCAAUGCACAAUAGAAAUUUUGAGAAAUAAAGAGAUAAUUUGUUUGUUUGUGUUCUACGUACAAUAUUUUUCCUUCUAAAUACAACAUUUUUAAUCUUGAUUUCAAGAUUUCAUUUUAGGGUUCUUGAGUUUGAAUUUUGACACAGAGGAAAG
rnacentral:lncRNA from 1 species